GAUGAAGAACGCAGCAAAAUGCGAAAAGUAGUGUGAAUUGCAGAAUUCCGUGAAUCAUCGAAUCUUUGAACGCACAUUGCGCCCCUCGGUAUUCCGUGGGGCAUGCCUGUUCGAGCGUCAUUUACACCCUCAAGCUCUGCUUGGUGUUGGGCGUCUGUCCCGCUUUAUGCGUGGACUCGCCCCAAAGUCAUUGGCAGCGGUCGUGCCAGCUUCUCGCGCAGCACAUUUGCGUUUCUUGAAGUUUGGUGGAUCAGCAUCCAGUAAGUUCUUUUAUGACUUGACCUCGGAUCAGGUAGGGAUACCCGCUGAACUUAAGCAUAUCAAUAAGCGGAGGA
rnacentral:misc_RNA from 1 species